rnacentral:rRNA from 1 species
UACGUAGGGUGCAAGCGUUGUCCGGAAUUAUUGGGCGUAAAGAGCUCGUAGGCGGUUUGUCGCGUCUGCUGUGAAAACUCAGGGCUUAACCCUGAGCCUGCAGUGGGUACGGGCAGACUAGAGUGUGGUAGGGGAGAUCGGAAUUCCUGGUGUAGCGGUGGAAUGCGCAGAUAUCAGGAGGAACACCGGUGGCGAAGGCGGAUCUCUGGGCCAUUACUGACGCUGAGGAGCGAAAGCGUGGGGAGCGAACAGG